CCUACGGGUGGCUGCAGUGGGGAAUAUUGGACAAUGGGCGAAAGCCUGAUCCAGCCAUGCCGCGUGUGUGAAGAAGGCCUUCGGGUUGUAAAGCACUUUCAGUGGGGAAGAAAGCCUUGGGGCUAAUACCCUCGAGGAAGGACAUCACCCACAGAAGAAGCACCGGCUAACUCCGUGCCAGCAGCCGCGGUAAUACGGAGGGUGCGAGCGUUAAUCGGAAUUACUGGGCGUAAAGCGCGCGUAGGCGGUCUGAUAAGCCGGUUGUGAAAGCCCCGGGCUCAACCUGGGAACGGCAUCCGGAACUGUCAGGCUAGAGUGCAGGAGAGGAAGGUAGAAUUCCCGGUGUAGCGGUGAAAUGCGUAGAGAUCGGGAGGAAUACCAGUGGCGAAGGCGGCCUUCUGGACUGACACUGACGCUGAGGUGCGAAAGCGUGAGUAGCAAACAGGAUUAGAUACCCCGGUAGUC
rnacentral:rRNA from 1 species